ACUCCUACGGGAGGGCAGCAGUAGGGAAUCUUCCACAAUGGGCGCAAGCCUGAUGGAGCAACACCGCGUGAGUGAAGAAGGGUUUCGGUCUCGUAAAGCUCUGUUGUUAAAGAAGAACACGUAUGAGAGUAACUGUUCAUACGUUGACGGUAUUUAACCAGAAAGUCACGGCUAACUACGUGCCAGCAGCCGCGGUAAUACGUAGGUGGCAAGCGUUAUCCGGAUUUAUUGGGCGUAAAGAGAGUGCAGGCGGUUUUCUAAGUCUGAUGUGAAAGCCUUCGGCUUAACCGGAGGAGUGCAUCGGAAACUGGAUAACUUGAGUGCAGAAGAGGGUAGUGGAACUCCAUGUGUAGCGGUGGAAUGCGUAGAUAUAUGGAAGAACACCAGUGGCGAAGGCGGCUACCUGGUCUGCAACUGACGCCGAGACUCGAAAGCAUGGGUAGCGAACAGGAUUAGAUACCCUGGUAGGAUAGCG
rnacentral:rRNA from 1 species